rnacentral:rRNA from 1 species
GCACCACAAGGCGUGAAGCGUGCGGCUUAAUUGGAGUCAACACCGGAAACCUUACCGGGGGCGACAGCAGGUUGAAGGCCAGAUUGACGAUCUUGCCAGACAAGCUGAGAGGAGGUGCAUGGCCGUCGCCAGUUCGUGCCGUGAGGUGUCCUGUUAAGUCAGGCAACGAUCGAGACCCACGUUCCCUGUUGCUACCAAAGAAAGUUUCCAAGGGGCACACUGGGAGGACAGCCGCCGAUAAGGCGGAGGAAGGAGUGGGCCACGGCAGGUCAGUAUGCCCCGAAUCCCCCGGGCUACACGCGUGCUGCAAUGGCCGGUACAAUGGGUUCCGACCUCGUGAGAGGAGGGUAAUCCCUAAAGCCGAUCGUAGUUUGGAUCGAGGGGGUGCGGGGCCGCCCUCGUGAAACUGGAAUGCCUAGUAAUCGCGUGUCAUUAACGCGCGGUGAAUACGUCCCUGCUCCUUGCACACACCGCCCGUCGUUCCACUCGAGUGGGUUUUGGGUGAGGCGCGGUCCUUGGUGGCUGUGUCGAGCCUGAGGUUCGCGAGAGGGGAG